rnacentral:lncRNA from 1 species
GGGGAUGCUGGUAUGUUCUUGCAAUACAGCGUGUGGCUUCUUGUAUCAGACAGCAGUGCAUGAGGACUGCGAACUGUAAUCUGAGUCUGUCUUGCCAAGAAGAGGUCUGUUACCAAUUCGUGUCACCCAGUAGCACAAUUGGGUUUCCAUGCGUAUCUGGAAACCUCACCAGUGUGGUUAAGAAGCCUAUGUGCUUAGACUCUGACGGACCAUUCCGAUAUGGUAUCUACGGUUGGGCGCUUCCGGUCAUCUCUAGCAACUCUCUUGCCGUUAAGAUACUUUACCCUAUCUUCUGGGGGUUAAUGACUCUCAGGUACUUUCAGAGUUUCAGGUUUCCACGCUUAAUAACCUCUAAUUGUCAAAUACUGACUCUGAUUUGUGUGUCGCGUUUUACAGCACAUUCGGGAACGAUCUUGAGCCCACAAGCAACUGGCUUGAGGUUGUUUUCAGCAUAGUUAUGGUCCUUAGCGGGUUACUACUCUUCACUCUCUUGAUCGGAAACAUUCAGGUAAACUAUGCAAGGAUAAGUCUCUCCUUCUAUUAUAUAUUUUUAUUGAUGGAAUCAUAAGUUUUUAACAACUUGAUUACUUUCUUUUGUAGGUGUUUUUGCACGCGGUGAUGGCAAAGAAGAGGAAAAUGCAGAUACGGUGUAGGGAUAUGGAAUGGUGGAUGAAACGUAGGCAGUUGCCUUCUCGGUUAAGACAGAGAGUUAGGAGAUUUGAGCGGCAGAGAUGGACUGCCUUGGGUGGAGAAGACGAGCUGGAACUUAUACAAGAUCUGCCUCCGGGUCUUCGAAGAGAUAUUAAGAGAUAUCUUUGCGUUGAUCUCAUUAACAAUGUACUAGAACACAAACCUUGGAUGAAUCUUGUUCAGAUCUGUGAAAACAUCAACGGUCAAGUCUCUGAUAAUAUCUGUUUUUUUUUUCUUAGGUGCCAUUGUUCAGGGGCAUGGACGAUUUGAUCCUAGACAACAUUUGCGAUCGUGCUAAGCCUCGUGUCUACUCUAAAGACGAAAAGGUACUCGUCGCAUCAUAAGAGUGUUUUUUUUGUCUUUAGUUUGUAAAAUCUGAGUUCUUGGUGUUAUGUUGAUUGUCACAGAUCAUCCGGGAAGGAGAUCCUGUACAGAGAAUGAUAUUCAUCAUGCGCGGGAGAGUGAAACGUAACCAGAGCCUAAGCAAAGGCGUUGUAGCCACUAGUACUCUCGAACCAGGCGGUUACUUAGGGGACGAGCUACUCUCAUGGUGCCUACGGCGUCCAUUUAUCGACCGUCUUCCUCCUUCCUCCGCAACCUUUGUCUGUCUCGACAACAUCGAGGCGUUCUCCCUCGGAUCCGAAGAUCUUCGGUACAUAACCGAUCAUUUCCGCUAUAAAUUCGCAAACGAGCGCCUUAAGAGGACUGCAAGAUACUACUCCUCAAACUGGAGGACGUGGGCUGCGGUGAAUAUACAAAUGUCGUGGCGCCGGUACAGGAAGAGAACAUGUGGUGGUGUAGGCGGUUCGAUGAGUCCUGUGUCGGAACAUAGCGUUGAAGGUAACAGUGAACGCCGUUUGCUUCAGUAUGCAGCAAUGUUCAUGUCCAUCCGACCGCAUGAUCAUCUCGAGUAAAACCAAAAAAAAAGUUGCUAAAUUUAUCGGUCGAAAUAAUUGUUUGUAUCCAUUGUUCGUCCUCAAUUGUUUUUGUUCUCUUUGUGUAAAAUAAAACCUCUCUUUCGAUUAUGUGUAUUUGAGUUUAAAACUAGCAUUAGAAGUUUCUCUUACACAAUAACUUCAUCUUGUUAAUAAUUUACCAUCUUUACAGCACUAAAAUAUAUCUUAGGAAGAAUAUUAGACGACACAAAAUACUUGCACAUUACCAAUUUAGAAAGUCUGAAGAUUAUCAAUAAACAUUGAAAUAAAUUCAUAAAUGCAAGAUUAUUUAUCUUUUCCAAGAAGAUAAAUUUAAAUGAAAACGAAAAAAUUGGCCGUAAAUCGAUCAUCAAUCAAUCUGAAUUCCAAACAAGGCUUGCAAAUGAUUGUUAGUGAUAUUUAUGGAGGAAUGUGUAUGUAGAAUCAUAAUGAUCAGGCCGAAGACCCAAAGCCCAAAUAUGUUUAAUACAGUAUAUAUUUCUUAGCUAACAAGUUUGUAAAAUAAAUAUUCCUUCCUUGAUCAAGUAAAGAACAACCAAGUACGAGACCACAGAUCGUAUUUAGAGUAGUUUCGUAUCCUUCGGAUUUAUCUUAAUCUUCAAUAAUCUCAGCGAUGUCUUCUCUCUUCUUCCGCAAAUUUUAAUUUCGUUUUUUUUUUCCUUUUUUACAAUAACUAAACUUGAUUAAGUUCAAUAGAUAGUCCUCUGAACUGAUUCAUCACAGAGUCUCCGUUAUCGAUUCAAUCACACCCUCAAUGUCGACCACCAAGCCCCAAAGAUCUCCAUCCGAAAUCGAGGACAUAAUCCUCCGCAAGAUCCUCCAGCUCGCUUACUGGCUUCUGGUUUGAUGUUAUAGUCAUCCUCCCGGUUCCGCAGGUUAAAACCUUUUUCAGAACAAUCCUCAAACUAUUCCAAUAUUAUUAAAAUAACCAUAAAUAUUUUAUUAGUGUCAAUUAAGCCCCCAUGAAGCAUUUGAAAGUGUUGUGUUUUUUUGCAGGCUGUGUUUUGGUUAGUGGUGCCAAAACUGAUAAGAGAAGAGAAGGUUAAGCUGAUAAUGACGAUCCUUCUGCUGAUCUUCUUGUUCCAGUUCCUCCCCAAGAUUUAUCACUGCAUCUGCUUGAUGAGAAGGAUGCAGAAGGUCACUGGUUACAUUUUUGGGACUAUUUGGUGGGGUUUUGCUCUUAACCUCAUCGCGUAUUUCAUCGCUUCUCAUGUAAGUCCUCUAAGGCUGCACAGAAAACAACUUCUAAGAGGAGAAAUGAUACUAAAGAUGGCCCUUUCAUGGAAUCUUUUUGUGUGGUUACAGGUAGCUGGGGGAUGCUGGUAUGUUCUUGCAAUACAGCGUGUGGCUUCUUGUAUCAGACAGCAGUGCAUGAGGACUGCGAACUGUAAUCUGAGUCUGUCUUGCCAAGAAGAGGUCUGUUACCAAUUCGUGUCACCCAGUAGCACAAUUGGGUUUCCAUGCGUAUCUGGAAACCUCACCAGUGUGGUUAAGAAGCCUAUGUGCUUAGACUCUGACGGACCAUUCCGAUAUGGUAUCUACGGUUGGGCGCUUCCGGUCAUCUCUAGCAACUCUCUUGCCGUUAAGAUACUUUACCCUAUCUUCUGGGGGUUAAUGACUCUCAG